GUUAAAAUAAGUGUUCAUUCAGUAUUGUUGUAAUUGUCAUUACAAAUAAAAAAAAACAUCUGAUAAAAAUCGGUAUUGAAAAAUCAUAAUGGGUCGACUUCUACCUUUGACCACUCCCCCAUUAGCCCAACCAGCUCUACUACACCUUCUCCAAUCUCACUACUUCAGCUACCCCCCCCCCCCCAAUCAUGGAGGCAGUCUUGCUGUGGAGAUUCAUCUGACAGACUACACUGGGAUGAAAGUCUAUUUAUCUGCAACCAAGGGGAGUAUAAAUCAGGUCUGCCCUACAUUCCUAGAAGAAAAAUAGAAGAAAAAAGUGCGAUCUACAACGUCAAAGUGUCCUUCGGUUGUCCCCAUAGGCAGGGCCGGAUUAAGGAAUCAUAGGCCCCGGUGCUUUAUUUUUUAUUUAAUAGUGCCCCUACACUUCCCGGCACACCAUUUUCUGUAAACAAACCGUGCACCAAGAUGCAAGGCGAUGCAUGGUAAAUUUCCUGUUGAAACAGACGCCUCACAAGCCCCUUUAUAAUAAAGCCAUAAUAACAUGCGUGAUUUAGCAUAGGCUACAGUUGAGUAGGGGCGUUUUUAGGAUUUCCACACAUUUGGUAGCAGGGUCCUGUUGCCUAACCAUCACUUAAUCAGUUGCCAGCCCAAGCCUCAAAAGACUCAUCUCAGGAAGCCACAGAAAGGGAGAGAGAGAGUCCGAAGAACCAUAAUCUAUUUCAUAAUAACAAUCUUUUAAUCCUGCUUCCACACAAUGCCGAAAUGCAGUAAGGUUAAGACCCUGGUGAGGACGACGAGCACACAGAUGAGCUUCCCGAGACGGUUUCUGACAGUUUGUGCAGAAAUUCUUCGGUUGUGCAAACCCACAGUUAUCAGGUGUCCCGUGGCUGGUCUCAGAAGAUCACGCAUGUGAAGAAGCCAAAUGUGCAGGCAUGGUUACACGUGGUCUGUGGUUGUGAGGCCUGUACAAAUUCUCUAAAUUGACAUUGAGGCAGUAGAGAAAGGAACAUUAAAUUCUCUGGCAACAGCUCGUGGAAAUUCUUGCAGUCAGCAUGCCAAUUACACACUCCCUCAAAACAUCUUAGAGUGGCCUUAUAUCGUCCCCAGCACAAGGUGCAUCUGUGUAAUGAACAUGUUUAAAUCAGCUUCUUCAUAUGCCACACCUCAGGUGGAUUAUCUUGGCAAAGAAGAAAUGCUCACUAACAGGGACAUAAACAAAUGUGCACAACAUUUUAGAGAAAUAAGCUUGUUGUGCAUAUGGAACAUGUCUGGGAUCUUUUAUUUCAACUCAUGAAACCAACACUACAUGUUGCGUUUAGAUUUUUUGUGUGUGUGUGUGUGCAGAAGUUUGGGGUCACUUAGAAAUGUCCUUGUUUUUUAAAGAAAAGCACAUUUGUCCAUUAAAAUAACAUCAAAUUGAUCAGAAAUACAGCGUAGACAUUGUUAAUGUUAUAAAUUACUAUUGUAGCUGGAAACGACAGAUUCUUUUAUGGAAUAUCUACAUAGGCGUACAGAGACCCAUUAUCAGCAACCAUCACGCCUGUGUUCCAAUGGAAUGUUGUGUAAACUAAUCAAAGUUUAUCAUUUCAAAAAGGUUAAUUUCUCAUUAGAAAACCCUUUUGCAUUUAAAUUAGCACAGCAGUCUCAAGUUGAGGGAGUGCGUAAUUGGCAUGCUGACUGCAAGAAUUUCCACCAGAGCUGUUGUCAGAGAAGGUAAUGUUCCUUUCUCUACUGCCUCAACAUCAUUUUAGAGAAUUUGGCAGUACAUCCAACCAGCCUUAACUACUUUUUCUUGCCAUUCAUUCAUAUAAUUAAUAUUAUUAUUUAGCCCUGGUAAGCCCCUGCAUUAUCCGGCCCUGCCCAUAUGAGAAACCUUUGAAAUAUAAAUGUAGGUUCCAGGUAGAACUCUUUUGGGUUCCCUUUCUACAGAGGGUUCUACAUGAAACUCAAAAGGCUCCUAUGUGGAAUUAAUAAAGGGUUAUUCUAUGGGGACAGCAAAGAACCCUUGAGUGUACAUACAGUAUAUCAGACAUAUAUACUGUACGCAACCUUCCAAUACAUAUCAGCAUCAAAAGAUUGUCAACUCCAACGACCCAUGGAUUUCAAUAUAAACUUCCUCUCAAUUAUAUACUAUAUCAAGAACAUAUCUCAAAACAGCAUUCAUCUGAACAUCUAAAACAAAGCACAUUUACAAUUACUCACUGUUCAUUAAGAAUUUCUCUAAUAUUUGUGUGUAAGUAAUAUACAGACCUAUGUAUCUGAAUUGGAGAUGGAGUUGUCACUGGUACAGUAAGUGCAUUAGUGUACAUGUAAGUAUCAGUAUGAGGGUGUUGAUGCGUAUCUCCCUAGAUCUUAUUCAGCAUCGCAGAGAUUUUGAACCCUGAACUACAGGUGAACCCACCCCCUGACAUCCUCUCAGGGCUAAAGCGUAGACAUGCCCCUGACAUGGUUAAGUUCAUCUUCUCUGUGUCUAAAACACCACCAACAAAAUGGGUGAGUUACCAUGCACUCCCAAGUUGCACAUCACAUGGCGAAAACAUCUCAAACUUUUGUCAGGAAUAAUGUCUGUGAGGAGACUGUAGCGGGACAAAUUGGCAAGAUUCUCUUUGGUAUUGAAGUUGAGAACAUAACCAUCUCUCACCUGUCAACACCAUUCAACAUGCCCAAAUCUUAACUACAGGUAGCUACCAUCAAAAUCAACUUACCAGUGGUAAGAUUUAAACAAGCUGCUUACAUUGUCAUUUUCUUUUCUUCAGGAAAAAGGAGAAUACAACAUGUGUCUACCUCAUGCAGUCCAUAUUUAUGACUCUGGUUAUCUUUCAACUAAUGGGAAAUUUUGUAUCAAAUCGAUAUAUUACGGGCUAAUGCUUUGAUAGAGCAUGAUAUGAAGCAGAAUGACUUAUUCAAGAAUGGAAUAUGAACAUCUGUUUCUUACUGUUGGAGGUGAAUGGGUCACUAACGGCUGCCACACCGAUGCUCACUAACCAGACCAUCUGUAGCUGUGACCACUUCUUUUUGCCCUCAUGAUCCCUGAUGUGAAACUGAGUGAGGUCCAUGCCAGGACGCUGAGCGUGCCCACCUGUGUGGGCAGAGCCAUCUGUGUUCUUCUGCACAGUCACCUUAUUGACUCACUGCCUCCAGCCUUUGUGAGUGACACCCGUCAAGCAAACACACAUUUUAAAUACUUAAAUUGAACCCACCAAUCACAUUACAGUCGAGAAGGAUUCAAACAUUUCAUAGGAUAUGGAUAUAUGGACACAGAAAACACAUCCUUCUCCAUACAGCUAAGCUGCCCAUGACUGCUGACAGAGGAGUACCUCGCUAGUUGCUUUGCCUUCGUCCGAUGCAGGUCUGCAAUCUGAAGGCCAUGUAUCGUCAGCCUAUGUACAUGGCCAAAGCUCCCAAGUAUCACCACUACAAGUCAAAAGAGCAACUGUAUACAAGAAAACAUCAAACCAGCCUCCUCUGAUAAGAUAAUGUUUGUGAAUAAGCACUGAUGGUGGUACUGUCUGUCUCACCUCACUAGCUAUCAGGUUAAUGAGGCGGUCAUGUCUAGCUAUGUAUAAGUCCUUGUAUGAAUGGCAAACGACCACACACAAAAUCUCUUUCAGAAGGAAAUCUACUGAGCAUGUCAUGCUGGUUCAUCUCCAGUUUGGGGCAUCUCUGCUGUUACUCAACCUGCUGCUGUUGAGCAGUGUGGGUUUGGCCUUUGUGGGCCCUGCAUCUAUGGCCCCUGGCCUGUGUCCUGCUGUGGCCGCCCUGCUGCACAACUCACUGCUUCACCUGGAUGGGCUAGCAUCUGUACAGGCUGCUGGUCCUAGUCUACAACACCUACAUGAGACACUACCGGCUGAAGCCAAGCCUGCUGGGCUGGGGUGCUGGAUAAAAGACUGAUGUGCUGUACGGCUCUGAUGUGGCUUACCUGUUAGUGGUCCUGCUCUUCAACAGCACCAUCUUCGUCAUCACAACAAUGCGCUCUGUCACGUCGCCGCAGGAGAAGAGGCGGAGCCGCAACAUCACCUGCAGUGUUCUGAGGCUGACCUGCGCCAUGGGCCUCACCUGGGGGCUCGGCUUCUUCUCCAUUGGCUACACCAACUACGUCAUCCUCUACGUCUUCACCAUCCUCAAGUCACUUAAGGGGUUCUUCCUGUUCCUGAGGAUCUGUGUUAAGAGACUGCGGGGGCCAGAGCAGAGUUCCAUGACAACUGGACAGAGCUCAAGCACCCACAUUCUCUCCGUUGGAAGCGAGGUCUGGCCCUCUUCUGGAAGAACAAGGCAGUCAGUGCCUAAAGAGGGAGCAAUUGGAGCAAUUGCAGCAAAUACAUCCAAGUUCUGAACAAAAGCUCAAUGAGAUUAAUGGAAAUUACUAAUGGAAAUGAAGUACCGUGAAGGAAUUGUUUGCGUCGGUCCCAAACAGUACAUCACAUUGUUAAAUAAAUAAAUGUUGAAGCAGAUAAUCACUAAGAAAGAACUUGUUGUACUCCUAUCGUUUAAUUUCUUCCUGUUAAAAUUAGAUUUACUGUUUUUUUAUGCCAUGAUGUAUGCAAAUUUCACCUAAAGCCUUCUAUUAUUAUUUUCCUGGGAUGGAAAGGGGGGUUGGAUUAGGGUUGGGACUGUUCCCAGAGAUUGUAAUUGUAAUGAAUUGUAAUGAUUGUACACUUUAAUUCUGUAAUAAAUAUACCGUACCAGUCAACUUGA